GUUUGUCUUUGUUUAGCGAAUGACAAGCAGAUAUGUACACACAGUUACUAACUCAAACUGAACUUCUAAAAUCUUGAAACGUAGUAAAGAAACAUUGAAAUAGUCAAAUGAGGUAACAGCUGGAUUUGUACUGUAGACUGAUUUUUUUCCUAAAUGAAGAGAAAAGUGUAAACGAGAAAACGCCCAGGAUUCUGUCCAAGAAAAGGGAUGUUUGACAAAGAAGAGCAGAAAUGACUCCCAUUCUUUCAAUACAACUGAAGAGUUUAAAAGUGAGUUGACAAGCUGUGUCCAGCCUGACUGACACUGGGACAAAGAGCACAUUACACCCACCCAAUCCAAGGACUCAACACAUGGGCCUACCAUAGCAAUCAUCACCUAGUGGGCUACGUCAGUAGCAUAGAGCUAUGGAUCAAUGAUCUCCUGAUCCAUGCCUAACAAAGCUCCAUCCUCCAGAUGCUCAUCGAACUCAACCACAGGAGCUAAAACAGAGACCGAAGACAGAACAGAAAGCAAGCAAAUAUGACGAAACUACAGAAAACAAAAAAUGUACAGUCAAAGAGAGGAAAAGGUACAAGUAUGUAGAGGAAGAGAUUCCUGCAGUGAGCGAAUGUCUUGCUCUGCCUGUUUGCUCUGGCAUAGCAGACUUUUUACACAAGUCACUUAUCCAGUUAGGAGACAGAGCGCACUCGCUUUAGGCUACAUACUCUGCAGCUGUAUGCAUAUAUCUGACUCAGCCUCAUAGCCAUGUCAUCUCUAACAACACUGCUCUUUUUUAUCCACUGUGGAAUGUCUACUAAUAAUAUCCAUCCCCCUGCAACCCCCCCAAAUCUGAACAACUCAACAGGUAGAGGUCAAGAGUUUUGUUACAGUGUCCUAAAACUAACUGGGUGUGUUCACCAUCAGCCAAUCAGUGGCCUCUGUCUGGUGGGAUGAGCAUCAGGUGGGGGCAGUGGUGCAUGCUGGGAAGGGUUAUUUCUGCUAGAGGCGUGUCCAGGUAGGGUCGAUCUAAUGACCUCUGUGUUAGAGCUGAGAUGAUCAACCGAAAAAUGACAGACCGCUUAUCAUGGACAUUUAGCUGACAUCUUCAUCACAUUGAAUUACACCCAUUCUUGCCAUGGGUACUCACUGGCUAUGAUGUUACUACGUCGCCUCCACCAGGUUACUACAGUCAGCGCGAUGUACCACGUCAGUGUUUAACUCUACGAUACAAAGUAGCAUAUUCUUUAUGUUGAUGAUUUAAAUCCACUUCCCAUUCAAAAUUGUUUGUCAUUGACGUGUUAAUUACAUUUCCGAAUAGUAGACUGCAAGGGAGACAAUGAAGUUGCUUGCCGACGAGUAAAAGAACAUGUAUUCCAUAUCUGUAAUGUACUUAACUAUAACCCUGGUUCAAUCCGGAGACAGUAACCUGUUAAACCCUAACCGAAUUAUCUCCAAAUCAAACAAUAGAACUUGCUACUACCGGGUUACAGUUUCCAAACCGCGAGUCAUGCAGUUUGUUACAAUGUCCCUUAUUGCAACACUUUACUUUCAACAGGUGGUAAACUAUCUACUUCCUCAUGUGUUCACAAACCAAGGUUUGACAUUAGCCUUGCAGAUUUCAGAGUUUUCGGAAAACACUCUGAAUAAUGUUAAACUGGUUGCAAAUUAAAUAUAAUCACAAGCAGGUCUGCUAGACAGAGUUACAAGUGAUAUGACAAGCCACUUGUUCUACCAAUAAGUAACUGUUGAUGAGUCCACACUUGUUCAGCAUGUUGCCAUCAGAGCUCAUAAGUAACAUUGAACAGGAGGUGCAUAAGCUAGCUAACUCACAAUCAGUGAAAUAUGAAUACGUACAAAUUUCUUUUUCCCGUCUCCAUCUUCAUAAUUUCUCUUUUCUUUUUUGUCCUUCUUGCUUUUGGGAGCAGCAGCAGAGGCAGAAUUCCCCGCAUUAGGAUCCAUUGUGAUUUAGACAAUUUCCUCAAAAGGGAGAACAAAAAUAAACUCACGAACACACCCGGUGAUAACCGUAUUUUUACACAAAAACAAACUGACGCCUCGCUACCAAGUUAUGAAAAGUUGUCCUUUCCGAAGAAAAAAAAGAUCUGAGUAGACCCUGCUGCCUGUCUAUACUCGCCUAAAGUUACUGCUUUUGGACUAGUUACUAUUAGCGAGUGGCUAGCUAGCCGCUAGCCAAUAACCCGAACCCCCG